CACGGACCGCACGAACGUUAUUCGGUAUCACUGGGCUUAAAGGGUGCGUAGGCGGCUUUGCAAGUUGGGUGUGAAAGCCCUCGGCUCAACUGGGGAACGGCACGGGAAACUGGAAGGCUUGAGUUCGGGAGAGGGAAGCGGAAUUCCGGGUGUAGCGGUGAAAUGCGUAGAUAUCCGGAGGAACACCGGUGGCGAAGGCG
rnacentral:rRNA from 1 species